rnacentral:lncRNA from 1 species
AGCGCACUCCGAGGUUUGAUAUAUACUUGGAUAAUAUACAGCUCAAUACAUUUUAAAUCUUAUAUAAUAUGAUUUCGUACAUUAAACCAUUAAUUAUGAUUGGUUAAACCCCCAACAACUCGAAUUGGAAAAGAAAAAUACCAACAAAGCUCGAUAUUAGUACAUAUAAUAAGCACACCUCCAACAUUUCACUUAACUCUGACCAAUUUUUUUUGUUGAAGAUAUUUAUUUAAUUAUUUUUAUUUUUUACAUGAAACUAUGAUUAUUAAAUGUAUAUUUAGCAAGGCUUAGGGUUAUAACAAUUACACGUCUUGGGGCCUGCACAGGUUCCAUCAACAUCUUCUGCGUACGCCAUUUUGCACAGGUCAAUGCAUCUCUCUGGAUCACACUUUCUAACGGUCAUGGGUCCUAUCAAACAUUUUCCGGCAUCACUCGUCUCUGCAGCAUUCAUUCCACCUGCGACGACCAACCAUCGGGGAAAUGAAUAUUCGAAAAACUUGAAAAAUACGAACAAAUAUCAUAAUUCAUCAAUGUUGUUUGUUUUUGGGUUUCUCACCCCAAAAGUUAGCUCAAGAGGAGAUCAAAUUUUUCCUCACACUAAUUAUAAACAUCACUAAUUAAUCCCUAAUUUUCCAACUACUCAAGUUCUUGGGAUGUAACGGUUCAUAAGACCAAUAACCUCCCACAUAUCAAUAUCUCAGUAGACUUUACCCAUCUAUCGACUAUGACCAGUUCACCCUCAUACUGUCAACCGGAGCUCUGAAAUUAUUGUUGAGUGUUAUUGGGCUUCUUAAUCAAAAAAUUAGUUCAAAGGACGAAACUUUCUUUCACACUUAUAAACAACAUUCAGACUUUUUUACGUGAUCUUACGAUUGAAAGAAAAAAAACUCACCGGUGAGAAGUAAGGCGAUGAAGAAGAAAGCAAUGGUAUUGAAGCUCUUCAUGUUUGGGAUAGCCACAAGAGUACUAUUCAACAAAGUGAUGAAGAUUUAUCAAACAAAACAAAGUGAUGAAGUUU